GGGGAGUUGGCUCAGUCAGUACAGCAUGAGACUCUUAAUUUCAGGGUUGUGCGUUCGAGCCCCAGAUUGGUCA